AAAAAUUCAAAAAUGAAUCUAAAAAUUAAAAUUUAAAAUUAAAUUUAAAUUUAAAUAUUGAAAUUAAAAUAAAAAUAAAAAUUUGAAGUUUAAAUUUAAAAUCAGAUUUCAAGAAGCAACCUUUUUUCUGUUUCUGAUUCUGGGGCUUUCAAAAUCAGUUUUCUGAUUCUAAAAAGCAGAAUCAGAUUUUAAAAAUGAGUUGCCAAACGCUUUAUUGAGCUGAAAAUCACUUUUCAGCCCAAAAGUGCUUUUUAAAAACUAAGCCAAACACCUCCUAAGUGUCUCAACCAUACUAAUUUACAUGCCACUCGAUCUACUUGACAUUCUACUUAUCCACAUCGAGUAUUACAGUUUUCAUAUUCUCAUUUUCCAAUGUCGAGUUCUCUAAUCAACCUAGAGUUAUCGACCCAAGUUCAACAUGCAUAUGCCAUUUCACAUGAUCCACAAUAUAUCAACAUGCAUAUAUAUCAACUAGCAUCUCAUGAUAUGCCAACAUGCAUAUAUUUUCAUCUAGCAUCUCAUCU
rnacentral:lncRNA from 1 species